AGAGACAGCAGUAGCCACGGUAAUACGAAGGGUGCAAGCGUUACUCGGAAUUACUGGGCGUAAAGCGUGCGUAGGUGGUGGUUUAAGUCCGUUGUGAAAGCCCUGGGCUCAACCUGGGAAUUGCAGUGGAUACUGGGUCACUAGAGUGUGGUAGAGGAUAGUGGAAUUUCCGGUGUAGCAGUGAAAUGCGUAGAGAUCGGAAGGAACAUCUGUGGCGAAGGCGGCCAUCUGGGACAACACUGACGCUGAGGCACGAAAGCGUGGGGAGCAAACAGGAUUAGAUACCCCUGUAGUCCCUGUCUCUUAUAC
rnacentral:rRNA from 1 species